rnacentral:lncRNA from 1 species
AAUUCCUGUCAGUCCUUUGGUUCCGGAAACAGCCUGUUUUCCCGGACCGCGAGAGCACUGCUCUGAUAGGAUUAUUUCAAUACUUGUACUUAUUAAGGUUCCCAGAUGUCACAUUGAAGAUCUGAACAAGAGAAGGCUUGGACUGGUGUAUUACAACCAGCGAGUGAGGAUUCAUCAACCUUUUUCAUCUCACGCAUCAACUGUGACCCUUAAGAGACCAACAGUGUUCUUUGUAAGAACUGGAACAACUGUCCGGGUUGAUUACAGUAGAGGUACCUCAGCCUUGAAGGGAUCCUUUUCAUUUAGAAUCCGUGUCUUCUCUUAAGUAAUUGAUCACCGUGCACCCGGGGACACCCAAUUCACA